rnacentral:rRNA from 1 species
GACGAACGCUGGCGGCGUGCUUAACACAUGCAAGUCGAACGGAAAGGCCCUGCUUUUGUGGGGUGCUCGAGUGGCGAACGGGUGAGUAACACGUGAGUAACCUGCCCUUGACUUUGGGAUAACUUCAGGAAACUGGGGCUAAUACCGGAUAGGAGCUCCUGCUGCAUGGUGGGGGUUGGAAAGUUUCGGCGGUUGGGGAUGGACUCGCAGCUUAUCAGCUUGUUGGUGGGGUAGUGGCUUACCAAGGCUUUGACGGGUAGCCGGCAUGAGAGGGUGACCGGCCACAUUGGGACUGAGAGACGGCCCAGACUCCUACGGGAGGCAGCAGUGGAGAAUAUUGCACAAUGGGCGGAAGCCUGAUGCAGCAACGCCGCGUGCGGGAUGACGGCCUUCGGGUUGUAAACCGCUUUCGCCUGUGACGAAGCGUGAGUGACGGUAAUGGGUAAAGAAGCACCGGCUAACUACGUG